UACGUAGGCAGCGAGCGUUGUUCGGAGUUACUGGGCGUAAAGAGUGCGUAGGCGGUUUUCUAAGUUUGGUGUGAAAUCUCCCGGCUCAACUGGGAGGGUGCGCCGAAGACUGGAAGGCUUGAGUAUGGGAGAGGCAAGCGGAAUUCCUGGUGUAGCGGUGAAAUGCGUAGAUAUCAGGAGGAAUACCGGUGGCGAAAGCGACUCUCUGGACGGUUACUGACGCUGAGGCACGAAAGCGUGGGGAGCAAACAGG
rnacentral:rRNA from 1 species